rnacentral:rRNA from 1 species
UACGUAGGGACCGAGCGUUAAAAGGAUUCAUUGGGCGUAAAGAGCUCAUAGGCGGCUGCUCAAGUCGAAUGUGAAAACUCGAGGCUCAACCUCGAGCCUGCAUUCGAUACUGGGCGGCUAGAGUCUGGUAGGGGGAUCUGGAAUUCCUGGUGUAGCGGUGAAAUGCGCAGAUAUCAGGAGGAACACCAGUGUUUUAGGCAGCUCUCUGGGACGGUACUGACGCUGAGACGCGAAAGCGUGGGGAGCAAACAGG